AUUGAACGCUGGCGGCAUGCCUUACACAUGCAAGUCGAACGGCAGCACGGGGGGUAACCCCUGGUGGCGAGUGGCGAACGGGUGAGUAAUAUAUCGGAACGUGUCCUGUAGCGGGGGAUAACCUAUCGAAAGAUGGACUAAUACCGCAUACGACCUAUGGGUGAAAGCGGAGGACCGCAAGGCUUCGCACUAUAGGAGCGGCCGAUAUCGGAUUAGCUAGUUGGUGGGGUAAAAGCCUACCAAGGCGACGAUCCGUAGCUGGUCUGAGAGGACGAUCAGCCACACUGGAACUGAGACACGGUCCAGACUCCUACGGGAGGCAG
rnacentral:rRNA from 1 species